AUACGUAGGGGGCGAGCGUUGUCCGGAAUGAUUGGGCGUAAAGGGCGCGUAGGCGGCCCGGUAAGUCUGGAGUGAAAGUCCUGUUUUUAAGGUGGGAAUUGCUUUGGAUACUGUCGGGCUUGAGUGCAGGAGAGGUAAGUGGAAUUCCCAGUGUAGCGGUGAAAUGCGUAGAGAUUGGGAGGAACACCAGUGGCGAAGGCGACUUACUGGACUGUAACUGACGCUGAGGCGCGAAAGUGUGGGGAGCAAACAGGAUUAGAUACCCUGGUAGUCCACACUGUAAACGAUGAAUGCUAGGUGUAGGGGGUAUCGACCCCUUCUGUGCCGCAGUCAACACAAUAAGCAUUCCGCCUGGGGAGUACGGCCGCAAGGUUGAAACUCAAAUGAAUUGACGGGG
rnacentral:rRNA from 1 species